UAUGGCCAUAUUACACUGAAAUACCAGUUCUUGUACCAUCACUAAAGUUAAGCAAUGUCGAGCCUGGUCGGUACCUAGAUGAGUGACCACUUGAGAAUACCAGGUGCUGUAA